UUUCAAAGACGAAACUAUUGUUGAGUCGAAUGAUGACGUGACCAAUCAAUUCAAAGAAAGAAUGAAAACAGCCAUCGUGAAUGCUAUGCAUUCUUCUACGGAAUCAAAGAAAUUAUGCGGGUUCCAACUACUUUUACUCGCUUUUUCCUCUUCUCUUUCAUUGGGCGUUUAUGUUAUUCAACAGAAUUCUCUUAUCAGUACGAUAGUAAAAAGUCUUCAAAGUAAAAAAGCUACAGAGCAAUGCUUGGCCCUCGAGGCACUUUCCUAUGCAGCUUAUAGCAAAGAAAUAAAUGAUGCUCUAUUUACUGAAGGCCUUCCUCUAUUGGAGAUCCUGCUAAAUAGUGAAAAUAAUGCAAUAUCAAUAAGAGCAGCUGUUGUACUUGCU